rnacentral:rRNA from 1 species
GGCAUGCGUUACACAUGCAAAUCGAACGGCAGCACGGGAGCAAUCCUGGUGGCGAGUGGCGAACGGGUGAGUAAUAUAUCGGAACGUGCCCAGUCGUGGGGGAUAACGUAGAGAAAUUUACGCUAAUACCGCAUACGAUCUAAGGAUGAAAGCGGGGGAUCGCAAGACCUCGCGCGAUUGGAGCGGCUGAUAUCAGAUUAGGUUGUUGGUGAGGUAAAAGCUCACCAAGCCGACGAUCUGUAGCUGGUUUGAGAGAACGACCAGCCACACUGGGACUGAGACACGGCCCAGACUCCUACGGGAGGCAGCAGUGGGGAAUUUUGGACAAUGGGCGAAAGCCUGAUCCAGCAAUGCCGCGUGCAGGAAGAAGGCCUUCGGGUUGUAAACUGCUUUUGUACGGAACGAAACGGUCUGCCUUAAUACGGUGGGCUAAUGACGGUACCGUAAGAAUAAGCACCGGCUAACUACGUGCCAGCAGACGGG